rnacentral:lncRNA from 1 species
UCACAUAAUACUAAUCCUGUGGGUUCUCUAAUUUACACCACAAAUUGUGGACCAGAAGUCAAUAUUGAAUCCGAUUCUCCAAUCAGAUUGUAUAUGGACUAGGAUCACUGUGAAGACAGAUGCUUGUGAUGCUGCCCCAAAAGGGGCGCAUCCAUGUAGUCACUUGCGCAGGAUAUGAUUCCGGUGUCAUUGCCGACAUGUAACGUCUGCAGACGGAACAUUCUACAGGAACAAUAAGAACUUCCUUUUCACCAAUUCUGAAGAUGAAUUCCCUUUAGGGAUUGUAAGGCAUCUGAAUUAGGUGAGUUUGAAGUUGAUUUAUGAGUUAUAAUUAUUCUUUAUUCAUUUUUUUUUAAUCUUCUAAAUAUGGGUGAACUAAGCAAGUAGUGGUCUCCUUUGUUAGAAAAGGUGUUAACUUUCAUUUCCGCUAAUAAAAAAUUUAGGUUGUAUGCAAAACCUGCCACACUUUUCCACGAAAUUCCCCACUGAAGGAAUUCCUUUUGGGUUGAUGUUAUAAAGUAACCCGCGAUGUUUUGUCCCUGCAGGUCAUAUGAAGUAGGUGGAAUUGCUGAGGAGACAGUUUGUUGAAAGAGUACUGGUAGAAUCUAACCGUUGAGUAUAAUGUAAGUUCAAACUGAUGUGACAUUAAUACAUUAGAUAGUAGAAUAAAUAAAAAAUUUACUAUCUAAUAUAUGAAUGACACGUAACAGUUGUGACUCAACUAUUAGAAUUUCAAACAUUAUUGUUGUUAAAUACGAGUAUGAAUAAGAUGCUAAAAUUAUUCUAAAAAGAAAAAAAUAAAAUCUAACUAUUGGUUGUAAUAGUUGUCAUAUAUAAGUCGAUCAUUAAUUGUCCAUAGAAAAAUGGUAAAAAUUUAUCUUGAUAAAACUUUGGUAAUUUGUCAUUUUAGUUUAAUAUUCUAAUAUCAGCUUCCCAUUAGCAAAUGUAAAAUGAAGGAAAAGCAUUUUCACUAUUUUCAUCUGACCAGACAAAACCAUCAAACGCAUUUCAUAUAUUAGUUUCAAGACCCCCUGCCAAUACAUUUUCAUUUGCACCAAAAACUAAUCACUCGUAUUUUCUGAACCAGACAAAUUGGAAAACAAUACUAAAUGCCCUCGGAUUGUUUGCUUGCUGUUUAUAACAGUUUUUUAAGACUGGUGAAACGAAAAGAGAAGAGUGUUAGUUGUGUUAUUCCAAUUCCAACCUACAAUUGAAUUUCUUAUUUUUCGGAAAGAGAACUCCAAGUGUAGCAAUUCGGAAUAUUAGUUGAUACAAAAAGAGCAGAGGGGCUACAGAGUUGUUAAAAGCACUAGUGCCUGAAAUUCUACGUUUGUCUCAUUGUCUACAUUAAACGCAGCCCUUUUUUUCUUAAAAAAAAUUAUGGCUCGCCUUGUAAUAUCUUGGGAUCUGAUUGUUCUUUCGUUUUUAUCUGAGCCUCCUGAUGAUCCCCUUCUUUGCCCCAUAGCAGCAGAUAGAGGCCACCAAUGACAACAACUGCUCCUACAAUACUGAAUGAACCACAUACAAAUCUUUUUACAAUAAGCACAAUCCAUAUAAACUGGCUAAAAUGUGCAGUGUGAUUCUGAAAAUUACCUGCCCAAGAAAAGCUUUUCUCCGAAAACAAAAUAUGCUAGAAUUGCAACUAAAAUGGUUGAAACAGGAUUGAACAUGGUAGCAAAAACUGGACCCCUUUUGUCUGUGCACCAUAGUUGAAUAAAAACAAUCAAACCAGAAACCACCACUCCCUGCCAUGUGUAUAUUAAUUAAUUAUACCAUUAUCAGAAUCUUAUUAGAGAACUUAAUUAACAUUAAUUUAUUAAUCACAGUACAAAUCCUGUCUAAUUCUCCAACUUACACCAUAAAUGGUGGACCAGAGAUCAAUAUUGAGUCCGAUUCUCCAAUCAGCUGGUUUACGUGCAACAAUAACUGUGAAGACAGCUGAUUGUGCUGCCCCAAGAAAGCACAUCCAAGUAGUCAGUGACAGUUGUGCUGGGUAUCGCUUCAGUGUGAUUGCCUACAUGUUACAUUUGAUUGUAAUCAGUGUGACAGUAUCAGUAAUAUGAACCCCUUUUUUUUUCAAAUCUAAAUAAAAGUAGAAUUAGUUUGGCAAAUAUUAACCUGCAUAAUAUACAUUGCAGACCAUGUUAUGCUGCUUGCAAUUGUAAGAAAUGAACCCUUCAACCACUGCUCCUGGAUGAUAU